CCUCACUCUCCCUCUCUGCUAACAAAUCCUCUUUCUCCCUCACGACAGGUGCUUCCUUCUCCCUCACUCUCCCUCUUUGCUCACAAUCGCUUCUCCCUCACCUAGACGACGCCUAACCCAUCACUCUCUCUCUCUACAAAGAAACCCGAAGCCUUCCACCCUCACUCUCCCUUCUCUACACAGCCCCCCACCUUCGGUCUGCCUAUCGCUGCGAAGCCCCUCACUCUUCCUCUCUGCAACUCUUCUCCCUUACCCAAACGAAUCUAGGGCAAGUGGCAAACUUGAAUCAAAGGUGAAAAGGACCUAUCGCUUCAUAGUUUUCCAGAUUGAGGAGAAGCAGAAGCAAGUUAUUGUGGAGAAGGUUGGUGAGCCAAAAUAAGGUUAUAAUGAUUUCACUGCAAGCAAAGAGGGGGAGAAUGGAUGUGGGGGGGUGUUUAGACGACACGACACCUUUAGUUCAUUUGAAGUUUUAAAUUGAUCCUUGUCAAUUAAUUAACAUUGGAGUGCUAAAGUUUGCAUGAAACAUUUUGAGUAAUCUAAUCUAAUCUAGUUCCUUCUAAGCAAA